rnacentral:rRNA from 1 species
UACGGGGGGGCAAGCGUUGUUCGGAAUUACUGGGCGUAAAGGGCGCGUAGGCGGCCUACUAAGUCGGACGUGAAAUCCCUCGGCUCAACCGAGGAACUGCGUCCGAUACUGGCGAGGCUUGAAUUCGGGAGAGGGAUGUGGAAUUCCAGGUGUAGCGGUGAAAUGCGUAGAUAUCUGGAGGAACACCGGUGGCGAAGGCGGCAUCCUGGACCGAGAUUGACGCUGAGGCGCGAAAGCUAGGGUAGCAAACGGG